GUGCCAGCAGCCGCGGUAAGACGAACCGUCCGAACGUUAUUCGGAAUCACUGGGCUUAAAGGGCGCGUAGGCGGGUGACCAAGUCCGGGGUGAAAUCCUCCAGCUUAACUGGAGAAGUGCCUCGGAUACUGGUUGUCUUGAGGAGGGUAGGGGCAUCUGGAACUAGCGGUGGAGCGGUGAAAUGCGUAGAUAUCAGAAGGAACGCCGGUGGCGAAAGCGGCGGACUGGACCUCUUCUGACGCUGAUGCGCGAAAGCUAGGGGAGCAAACAGGAUUAGAUACCCUGGUAGUCC
rnacentral:rRNA from 1 species